rnacentral:rRNA from 1 species
AUUGAACGCUGGCGGUAUGCCUUACACAUGCAAGUCGAACGGUAGAGGGGCAACCCUUGAGAGUGGCGAACGGGUGGGUAAUACAUCGGAACGUGCCCAGUCGUGGGGGAUAACGUAGCGAAAGCUACGCUAAUACCGCAUACGACCUGAGGGUGAAAGCGGGGGAUCGCAAGACCUCGCGCGAUUGGAGCGGCCGAUGGCAGAUUAGGUAGUUGGUGGGGUAAAGGCCUACCAAGCCUGCGAUCUGUAGCUGGUCUGAGAGGACGACCAGCCACACUGGGACUGAAACACGGCCCAGACUCCUACGGGAGGCAGCAGUGGGGAAUUUUGGACAAUGGGCGCAAGCCUGAUCCAGCCAUACCGCGUGCGAGAAGAAGGCCUUCGGGUUGUAAACCGCUUUUGUCAGGGAAGAAAUCUUCUGGGCUAAUACCUCGGGAGGAUGACGGUACCUGAAGAAUAAGCACCGGCUAACUACGUGCCAGCCGCCGCCGUAAAAC